GUUUUUACACAUUGCAAUUUUCUUGAACCAUGUUGACAUUGAUGGGUAUUGGUUGAAUGAAGAACAUUUUUUUUUUCUUUUCUAUUGUGCAGCACUGCAACCAAGUGUGUGAUUCUGGUGCAUCUCUUUUUAAUUGCAUUUACUUUCUUUGAAUGGAAGAAUAAGGUGUGUUGUCAUGUCCAUGGGUCCAGUCCUCUUUAUAGCAUUGUUUUUUUUAUUUUCAUGAGAAGGAAAGAAGGGAUCCUCACCUUGGGAAGGUCACUGCCGACGUCCGCUGUCCCCUUCAUUUGCUUUUUUUU
rnacentral:lncRNA from 1 species